CAGUGCCGCGGGAAUACAGAGGGUGCAAGCGUUAAUCGGAAUUACUGGGCGUAAAGCGCGCGUAGGUGGUUUGUUAAGUUGGAUGUGAAAUCCCCGGGCUCAACCUGGGAACUGCAUCCAAAACUGGCAGGCUAGAGUAGGGCAGAGGGUGGUGGAAUUUCCUGUGUAGCGGUGAAAUGCGUAGAUAUAGGAAGGAACACCAGUGGCGAAGGCGACCACCUGGGCUCAUACUGACACUGAGGUGCGAAAGCGUGGGGAGCAAACAGGAUUAGAUACCCGCGUAGUCCCUGUCCCUUUACAC
rnacentral:rRNA from 1 species